rnacentral:rRNA from 1 species
UAGGAAAUGCGGCAGCCUAUAAUGCAGUCGAGCGAAUGGAUUAAGAGCUUGCUCUUAUGAAGUUAGCGGCGGACGGGUGAGUAACACGUGGGUAACCUGCCCAUAAGACUGGGAUAACUCCGGGAAACCGGGGCUAAUACCGGAUAACAUUUUGAACCGCAUGGUUCGAAAUUGAAAGGCGGCUUCGGCUGUCACUUAUGGAUGGACCCGCGUCGCAUUAGCUAGUUGGUGAGGUAACGGCUCACCAAGGCAACGAUGCGUAGCCGACCUGAGAGGGUGAUCGGCCACACUGGGACUGAGACACUGCUCAGACUCCUACGGGAGGCAGCAGUAGUGAAUCUUCCGCAAUUGACGAAAGUCUGACGGAGCAACGCCGCGUGAGUGAUGAAGGCUUUCGGGUCGUAAAACUCUGUUGUUAGGGAAGAACCAGUGCUAGUUGAAUUAGCUGGCACCUUGACGGUACUUAACCAGAAAGCCACUGCUAACUACGUGCCAGCAGCCGCGGUAAUACGUAGGUGGCAAGCGUUAUCCGGAAUUAUUGGGCGUAAAGCGCGCGCAGGUGGUUUCUUAAGUCUGAUGUGAAAGCCCACGGCUCAACCGGUGGAGGGUCAUUGGAAACUGGGAGACUUGAGUGGCAGAAGAGGAAAGUGGAAUUCCAUGUGGUAGCGGUGGAAAUGCGUAGAAGAUUAUGGAGGAACACCAGUUGGCGGAGGCCGACUUUUCUGUUCUGUAACUGACACUGAGGCGGGGAAGGCGUGGGGAGCCAAACAGGAUUAGAAUACCCUGGUAGUCCACGCCGUAAACGAUGAGUGCCUAAGUGUUAGGGGGGUUUCCGCCCCUUUAUUGCUGAAGUUAACGCCAUUAAGCCCUCCCGCCUGGGGAUUCCGGCCGCCAGGGUUAGAAUUCAAAGGAAUUGACGGGGGGCCGGACCAAGCGUUGGAGCAUUUGUUUUAAUUCGGAAGCAACGGGAGAACCUUUACCAGUUCUUGCCUUCUUCUGCCACCCUAGGGGUUAGGGUUUUUCUUUGGGAAGCGGAGUUGCCAGGUGGUGCCAGGGUGAUUGUCGUCAGUUGGGUGUCUGGUGAGGUGUGGUUAGUUCCGCCACGAAGGCGCAACCCUGGUUUUUAUUGCCCUCCAUUAAGUUGGGCCAUUUUAAGUGGCUGCCGGGUGCCAACCGGGAGAAAGGGUGGGAUGACGUCAAAUUCAUCCAUGCCCCUUUAUUGCCUUGGGGCUAUACACACCCCUGGUGUCUCUAAAAUGGCCGUACAAAAAAGUGCCAGGCCCGGAAGGGGAAGUUAUUUUCAAAAACCCUUUUCCAUUUGGGAUGUUGGGUUCCAAUUGCCUACCAGGAAGCGGGAAUCGUUGUUAUUCGGGGUUCACCAGGCGCCGGGAAAUACUUUCCCGGCCUUGGUCCCCCCCCCCGGCCCCACCAGGGGAUUUGUUACCACCGGAGUUGGGGGGGGAACCUUUUGGAGCCAGCCGCCUAAGUGACAGAAGGGGU